GACAAACGAGAGAUACAAGAUCAUGGCAGUUCUCUCUUCUUCCACCGGACAUUGCUGUGUCUGCCUAAAAUGUCGAAUUGGCAACAGCCAUUUUGUAACCACGGGACACAGAGCAAAGUCCGCAGAGCAGAAAGGUGGAAGGAUCCUGGAUUCCUGGUGAGGUUGAAGCACUCAAAAGGUGGGUCUUGGUCCCCUCCGCUUGAACCCGGAUGGACUUUUGUGAUGACCUCAACCACUGGGUGUGGUGGAAGUGGCUGCAUGAGUUCUGAGGCUUGGUCAUUAAAAGUGAUAUGGCCGGGCGCGGUGGCUCACACCUGUAAUCCCAGUACUUUGGGAGGCCGAGGUGGGCAGAUCACUUGAGGUUAGGAGUUCGAGAUCAGCCUGGCCAACAGAGUGAAACUUUGUCUCUAAUAAAAAUACAAAAAUUAGCCAGAUGUGGUGGCACACGCCUGUAAUCCCAGCUACCUCAGAGGCUGAGGCAGGAGAAUCGCUUGGGCUGGGAGGCGGAGGUUGCAGUGAGCCGAGAUUGCACCACUGCUCUCCAGCCUGGGCGACAGAGUGAGUGAGACUCUGUCUCAAAAAAAAAAAAAGUGAUAUGGCCUCUCCUUGGAUCUCUCUUGGGACACACUCAGGGGACCCCCUCAUGAACUGCAGGAAAGACGUCUGGCUUUCCUGAAGCCACCAUGCUGAAAUGAACACACAAGCAGGAGAGCGACGCCCGAGGAGGACCAGCUGUUUGAGUCUGCCCAGCCCAGGUGUCAGACUGUAAAUGAAGACGGCAGCCAGAUGACACUGCCAGCCACCAGCCCCUCUGACUGCACCCUCCAAGAGAUCCAGAGCUCAAACCGCCCUGGGGAGCCACUCCCGAGAUCUUACCCCCAGAAACCAUGAGUGGCCAGUGAUGUUCCAGCAGGUGGCUGGGUCCUGCUGUGAGGACAACAUGGAGCAGAGCCCAGGCUUACCUACAAUGGACAUGCAGUGUGAGUGACAAGAAACCUCUGUGUGCUGAGCUGUUGAAAUCGCCAGGUUGUUUGUUACCACAGUAUAACCUGGCCUAUCCUGACCAUUGCAGGCUCCCUUGCCUACACUUGGUAAGGGAUUGCCUCCAAGAACCACAUCAGCGUGGACCAUGAGCGUAGGCAGAUGAGGUGCAUGCGAACUGCUUAGCCAGCAGCUGCCACAGUGGAAGGUCUAUGUCAUUGCUGCUGCUGCAUGCUCGUUGUGGCUGUGAUUGUCAUCAGCAAAGACCAGCAACAACAAAAGGCCACAGAAGCCCUUACCAUACAUUCUAGAAGGCUUAAGUCUACUCUGGUCAUUUCAACCUUGGGCAGAGAAGGUGGCCUCUUGGAACCUCUCUGAGAUUUCAUUCUCUCACCAGGUGGGUGAGAGGACAGCAAAGAGCCAUGUUACGAAAUUCAAUGAAAGGCUCAUUUCCUACCCCUGGGGAAAGCAGCAAAGCCAGGCUGACACCAAGGAGUUCUAAACAGAGGAGGGCCUGACUUGCUGGCCGGGUGGGCAGAGGAAGACAGGGAGCCCAGUGAUAACGCCUGGCUGGAGGUGGAGCCACGGUUGCCAGGGUACUUGUGCUGUGUAAGGAAUCCCUCAAAACAUUAGGGCGCCCAGCAGCCAUCGUAUUACGCUCACAGAUCCUAUGGCUCAGAAUCACACAAGGCACAGCACAGAUGUCUUGUCUCUAUUCCAGGAUGCCAGGGCCUUCUGGAAGUGCCUGUUUGGCAGUUGGAGCUGGCUGGGGGCUGGGACGUAUCUGGACUGUCUGCCACAACACCAACCCACAGCCCCCUUUCGGGCUACUUGGACUUCCUCACAACAUGGCGGCCCUGGGCAGUCAGAUGCUUACACAGCAUCUCAGGGCUAUAGCACGAAGGCACCUGCAUCACCUUCUGUGACCUAGCCUUGGAGGCCACGCAGCGUCUCUUCUGCCACAUUCUAUUAGUUGUGAGUGAGUCAUGAACGUGCUCAGAUUCAGGAGGGAGAGAACAUAAACCCCACUCUCCAGCAGUGGGAGGUAAAGGUCAUAUGGGAAGAAUAUCUUGUGGGAUGGGAGAAAUUGCAGAGGCUGUCUCUGGAAAAUGCCAUCUGUUACAAGGGACUUAGACCACCCCCGUCCCACCUCUCCUCCAGGCCUGGGUCCUUCCCAUGGCCACCUGCUGACCACUGGGGACUUCUGUGUCAUCCCUCCAGCUCUGAAGAUUCCUCUCAGUGAACUUCUUAGCUAAGCCUGCCAGCCCACAGCCUUCUCUCGUGUCCUGCCUGGCGAGGGGUCUGGCUGGUGUUGAAGGCAGCCCCAGGGCCUCACCUCACACUGCACAAUGACCCACGGUGCCCUGGACAAGAGGCUGCCCUUGGCAUUCCAGGCAAAAAGUCGCUUCCCUGAAAUGUUCUCCAGUGGGAAGCUAAGAGCGUGCCUGCCUCCCAUCCUGACCUCCUGCCCCUUCAGAAGCGUCCCUGCAGCUCCUGCCUGCACCUGGCAGGGAGCACCGCUACAGAGUUUGCUGCUGUACCGGCUCAGAAACGGGAGUUCCCGGCACAGGGCCAUCGGCGAGCCUCCCAGCUGGAGUGUGGGCAGAGGCAGACACUGGGGCUGCAGGGGAGUGGCCCCCAGGGUGUGAAUAGGAGGGCAUCCUGCAGGCUCCAGACAUUGCCAUGCGUGUUGCUGUGAUUAACCCCCAAACCCAGCUCCAUCAUUCAUUCACUCCUUCAUUUGUUCAUCCUAUUGUCCCAGGAGCUGGGCUAUAACAGAAAGGAGACAGGCCACAGACAGACAGGCAAGGCCAUCCCAGGCAGUGAGAGGCGACGUGAACUCUGUGAACUGAGAUGAUGAGGAAGAGAGGAGAAGGGCGGGGCCGCUUUAGAAAGGCUGCUGGGGAUGUCCUGUUUGAGGAGGUGACCCUGUCACUGGAGCCAAGCCAAGAGCUGGGGAAGAGCAUGUCAGGCCCCAAGAACUGCAGGUGCAAAGGCCCUGAGGCAGGACCCUAGCAGGACCCUAGCAGGUGCAGGUGCAGGUGCAAAGGUCCUAAGGCAGGACCUGAGCAGGUGCAGGUGCAAAGGCCCUGAGGCAGGACCUGAGCAGAUGCAGGUGCAAAGGCCCUGAGGCGGGACCUGAGCAGGUACGGGUGCAAAGGCCCUGAGGCAGGACCCGAGCAGGCAUGUCUGAGGGUCAUAGGAAGCCUGUGUGCCUGGAGCAGAGGGUACAAGCCCAACGUGGAGCUUGUGCAUGGCUCUCCACUGCCUCCCAACUCAGUCCAGGGGCUUCUGCUCGGCUUUCAAUGCCCUCCACUGUGGGGGCCCUGCCACACCUCCCCAUUCUCUGGGGGCCCCAGGAUUUCCCACAUCCUUGUUUUUUCCCAUAUUGCAUUAGGAUUUGACUUUAUUAUUUAAACAAGAAGCAGAGGCCCCCACUCCUUAGGGCGGAAACGUUGCUCAGAAUCACAUCCUGGAGGAUGGAGUGAAAGGGAUGUUGGUCUUAGAAGCCCUAAGAGAAGACGGCACAGAGUGGCUGGACUGGGGGUGGGGGUGGAAGAGACUGAGGAAGGCCAGGUGGACAAGGCGGGGUGGGGCCCACAGUCCUCAUUGCCACAGGGCUUUGCCAUCUUGCCAAGGAGCCAACUUGCCCUGAUUCCACGGAGCAGGCCACUGGGACUUCCCACUUCUGUGGGGGCGCUGCGACUGCCUCCAAGAUCCUCCCCAAAUCUCUCUGGGCCUCAGUGAGGUGCCUGGGGAAUGGAUUUAAGAUUGGUGGCCCAGUUUCCGGACAGCUGGGAGAUGAGCUCAGCCUUACUAAUGUGAUCGAAGUUGCCAACCCCUGCCCCGCACAUCCUCAGGGGACCCUAGGCUGCUGGCCACCAGCAAGGUUGUCUUGUCUGUUUGAUCUUCGAUUCCUGAGGGUAGUGGGCACCUCGGUAGGUGAUCCUGCCCAAAUCCCGCCUCCGCUUGUCCUCUUGGCAGGGCGGCCUCCCUCCCGCAUACCACAGCCUUCCUGCAAUGCUGCGACUCGGGUUCAUUCCAGGGGAUCCUUGAGCGCUGGCGGCACAGAGGGGCCAACCUUGAACUCAGCAAAGAGGAAUGCUUGACUCCUCUCCAGCUGGAAGGCUGUACCUGGGCUAAGAACUGAUGAGCCUGCUUGAAGGAAACACUCCGUGCUUUUGUUAAAGGGGAAGGGAAAAUAAAAUCCCAAAUCAACCUUGGAUCAAUGUCUCUUCCCCAGACGGCAGCCCAAGGCCUCUGCGGCCUCUGCAUCAGUCAGCUGGGAAAGCGGCACAGCCCCUGGGACUGUGGCUGGGCCAGCCAGCCUCCACCCAGACAGAGCCCGCAGCAGGCCGUUGAUUCACCGUUCCCCAGCAAAAGCGUCAUCCUGAGUCCCAUGGAAGAGACUGGUUAAUCUCUUACUGUGUAAUUAAUCUCUUACUGUGUACCAGGCACAUGCAUACAUCCCAUAACGCAUUCAGCCUCACACCAUCUACUUUACAAAGCACAUAGCACUACUGUCUUCAUCUGGCAGUUAGCAAACCUGUGGCCCAGAGGGGUGGACCAAUUUACUCAUAGCCACAUAGCUGUCAGGAGCUGAGAUACAAGCCCAGGCGUGGUGGAUCCAAAGCCUCUUGUCCUGGCUGGGCAUAAUGGCUCACACCUGUAAUCUCAGCACUUUGAGAGCCUGAGGCAGGAGGAUUGCUUAAGGCCUGGAAUGUAAUAUCAGCCUGGGCAACAUAGCAAGACCCUGUCUUUAUAGAAAAAAUUUUAAAAAUUGGCCAGGCAUGGUGGUGUGCCUGUGGGCCUGGCUACUUGAGAGGCCGAGGCGGGAGGACUGCUGGAGUCCAGGAGUCUGAGGCUGCAGGGAGCUGUGACUGCGCCAGUGCACUCCAGCCAGGGUGAAAGAGUGAUGCCCUAUCUCAAGAAAAAAAAAAAAAGCUCUUGUCCCAAACCCUAUAUCACCAGGUCCGUAGAAGCAGGAGUGUAUUGAAUCCAUUAGGGAGGCACUUGGCUACAAGUAACAAAAACCUUGGCUCACAGUGGCUUAAAGCAUAAGGUCAUUCAUUGUUUAUUUCGGAGGACAUUGAGAAGCAGGCAUAGCCCAGGUGGGUUCACUAGUUCCUCAGUGUCAGGAUACAGGGCUGGCAUCUCUGCAAUUCUCUUAGCCUUCUCCUCAUGGUGGCACCAUGGCUGCCACAGCUGCAGACAUCACUUCAUCCCACAAUGACAUCCAAAGGCAGGAAGGAAGGUGAGGUGGGAAGGAGGCAAAAGGGACCAAACCUCUCUUCCUGUAACCUUCUCAUUUUCUAGUGAGACCUUUUUCCCAGGAGCCGCCAGCAUACUUCCCUCACGUUUCUGGCCAGAAGUGGAUCACAGGCCUUCCCCGGAUUACUCAGGCCCAGAGGGUGCAAUGUGGUCCCCACUACAUGGUAGACAGGAUUUGAACUAAACAACAGUUCGCUGGAGUGGAAAAUAAAGGAUGCUACAUUUUCUUAUUGUGAUAAAAAAUAUAUAUCAUAAAAUUUACCAUUUUAACAAUUUGUAAGUAUACAGGUUGGUAGCAUUAAGGACAGUCACAUUGUUGUGCAACCACUACCAUCCAUUUCCAGAAUUUUUUCAUCUUCCCAAACUGAAACUCUGUCUCCAUUAAACACCAACUCUCCACCUGGCUCCUGCCAGCCCCUGGCUCCCACCAUUCUACUUUCUGUAUCUGUGGAUUUGACUAUUCUAAGGUUGGACUAGUCCAACCUGUACAUAAAUUGAAUCAUACAGUAUUUGUCCCUUUGUGGCUGGCUUAUUUCACUCAGCACAGUGUCCUCAAGGCUCAUCCAUGUUGUGGCCCGUGUCAGAAUAUCCUUCCUUUUUCAAGGCU
rnacentral:lncRNA from 1 species